AUUGAAAGCUGGCGGCAGGCCUAACACAUGCAAGUCGAGCGGAUGAAGGGAGCUUGCUCCUGGAUUCAGCGGCGGACGGGUGAGUAAUGCCUAGGAAUCUGCCUGGUAGUGGGGGAUAACGUCCGGAAACGGGCGCUAAUACCGCAUACGUCCUGAGGGAGAAAGUGGGGGAUCUUCGGACCUCACGCUAUCAGAUGAGCCUAGGUCGGAUUAGCUAGUUGGUGGGGUAAAGGCCUACCAAGGCGACGAUCCGUAACUGGUCUGAGAGGAUGAUCAGUCACACUGGAACUGAGACGCGGUCCAGACUCCUACGGGAGGCAGCAGUGGGGAAUAUUGGACAAAGGGCGAAAGCCUGAUCCAGCCAUGCCGCGUGUGUGAAGAAGGUCUUCGGAUUGUAAAGCACUUUAAGUUGGGAGGAAGGGCAGUAAGUUAAUACCUUGCUGUUUUGACGUUACCAACAGAAUAAGCACCGGCUAACUUCGUG
rnacentral:rRNA from 1 species